UGGAUUUCAUCUCUGUUUCACUGUACCUAGAACUAUGAGCAGCUAGAGAUGAGAAUGUGACCCCAUCAAGAAGAAAUAUAGUUAUUUCUGAACUAUAUUUGCUGAUGCUGUGACCAUCCAGUUUUACUCCAUGAUGAUGGUGUCUUGGAGUAAGAGGACAAUGAAUGCUACUGCUAUAGACUGAGAGUUCCAAAUGGAAGAGAAGGAAGAGGAAAAGACUGUGGGAGAUAACGCAAGUAGUUGAUAGUGACAGCAAACACAAGAAUGUUGAAUGAUUAAAGAGUCUAAAUUUGUUACAGAAUUUACUUGACAUUUUUUGCUUCUCUAUGUUAUCAUGAAUUUAUCUACUUCCUGGACGUUCAUGGGACAUUGCCUUACUAUAGUUUGAGAUAAAAAGAAGAUAUGCUGAUUUUUGGAUUCAGUUUUUAUAGAUUUGUAACAGGAGAAUUAGAGAC
rnacentral:lncRNA from 1 species